rnacentral:rRNA from 1 species
UACGGAGGAUGCAAGCGUUAUCCGGAAUGAUUGGGCGUAAAGCGUCCGCAGGUGGCAAUGUAAGUCUGCUGUCAAAGCGUCUGGCUCAACCAGAUAAAGGCAGUGGAAACUACAUAGCUAGAGUAAGGUAGGGGUAGAGGGAAUUCCUGGUGUAGCGGUGAAAUGCGUAGAGAUCUGGAGGAACACCGGUGGCGAAGGCGGCAUCCUGGACCAACACUGACACUGAGGAGCGAAAGCCAGGGGAGCAAACGGG